GAUGAACGCUGGCGGCGUGCCUAAUACAUGCAAGUCGAGCGAACAGACGAGGAGCUUGCUCCUCUGACGUUAGCGGCGGACGGGUGAGUAACACGUGGAUAACCUACCUAUAAGACUGGGAUAACUUCGGGAAACCGGAGCUAAUACCGGAUAAUAUAUUGAACCGCAUGGUUCAAUAGUGAAAGACGGUUUUGCUGUCACUAAUAGAUGGAUCCGCGCCGCAUUAGCUAGUUGGUAAGGUAACGGCUUACCAAGGCAACGAUGCGUAGCCGACCUGAGAGGGUGAUCGGCCACACUGGAACUGAGACACGGUCCAGACUCCUACGGGAGGCAGCAGUAGGGAAUCUUCCGCAAUGGGCGAAAGCCUGACGGAGCAACGCCGCGUGAGUGAUGAAGGUCUUCGGAUCGUAAAACUCUGUUAUUAGGGAAGAACAAAUGUGUAAGUAACUAUGCACGUCUAGACGGUACCUAAUCAGAAAGCCACGGCUAACUACGUG
rnacentral:rRNA from 1 species